UCGGUAAUGCGCACAUCAUGGGCGAGAGUGGGCGCGCAAGGCCGAACAAACAGGUUGUGCCACUGGGCGGUGGGUGGCUGGUGGGUGGCAGGUGGAGGAGGUGAUAGAGAGGGGUGGGGCGGAGGUGGGUGCGUUUGCGAUUGCGGCGAAUAUCCGAAAGUUGUGAAUAACCCAAAAGUGCGUGCCCCUGAUUGGGCCAAGUAGCCGUAUCCCAGUACCAGUAUCAACUACCAGAUCAACCGUAUCAACCAGAUCAACAAUUCCACACGGCGUAAACAAACACAGCAGAGUGCCAAAGUUUACUGUCACGUGCUUGUCAACAACGUCUUGGCGUUUUCGUUUUAUAACGCCCUGACCCCGGACACGAUGAAGCUUUACAAGUGACCCCCGGCUCUCGGUUCUCGGUUCUCGGUGGACUUUGCACCCGGCCAACGGCAACUACUACCACUAACUACUGCCACUGCCACCAACUAAACUGAACUGAACUGUGGCUCAGGUGCCACAGCGCUUUCAUUGCUAGUUUCUGGACACAGUAUUUAUCAACUGAAAAUGAAAUUAAGUGGCGAAUUUGUAACUAAAUUUUCAUUACCGGCAAGUGAUUGUUGAAAUUCCUUAAAUUUCCCGCUUUAAAAUGUCGAUUAUUUGCGGACUUUCCGUUUAACACCUCGAUGGCCGAUGGUUGAAGGCUGAUGUCUGAUUCUGGUGUCCAUGGAGUACUGGUACAAGGUGGACUGGGUGAAGUGGAGAUUUGGGAUGUGGAUGUGGAUGUGGAUCCGCAAAGGUCUGGUGCUUGCGGAUGAGGAACGGUGAAUUUAUAAAAAAAUCAUACUUUUAGGACGCUGCCAGGACACGGCCUGCCGGCAUUUCCUACAGGGCACGAAGGACAUCCCCAGCCCCAAUCCCUUGUUCAUCCUCGUGCACAUCCACAUCCACAUCCUCGCCUACAUGAAGCGAGAGCGCCCACAAGGGAUACAGUUGUUAACGUGGCCAAGGAGCAGCGACUAUGGCGGGGACAAAAACACAAACAUGGUUGCCGCAGGACGCUUGCAGUUGAAGGAGCAGAGCACUUUAUGUGCAUAUAAUGUCCGCUCUCACCCAAAGCGCACACCCACACUCACUCACUCGCACACACACUAGCACACACAGGAAGGACCCUUUGAGGACGGUGUCGGCCAAGUUGCGGGGAAUUGUUAAUAUUGUCUGGGCCUGUAAGCAGCAUUUACAUGCUGGCCGACACCACGUACUACAUACGUCCUGGCUGAUGGACGGUCGCCGGGAUACGGAAUCCUUGCCACUUUCCAUGCGGAUGAUGCCCCGGCUUUAAAUGUUGAAUUAACCGACGAUGCCCACCCAGCCCGACAGCUUUCAUUAGAAAAGGCGGAUGGACAAAGUCCUGGAGUUGCCGGAUGUGGAAAGCCCAAAUGCCGAUGCAUUCUCGAUUCGUGGCAUUAAGACAAAAAUAAACUUGAUUUUGGUAUGAAAUUGAUUCAUUCAUUUUCGAUCCAUUGAGUCAGAUUCUUAUCCGAUGGAUGAGUCGGGCAGCAUCGCCACUUCCAACUGUGUCCACAUCCAACAGGUAGUCAAACCAGACAAACUGUCUCCACUUGCACUGGAGUCUCGUUUCCAUCUACUUCACCUCUUCCAUCGCAAAUUCUUUAAGGCUAAUUAGUGACUUGAAAGGCUGCAAAAACAGAGGACACCCUUAAUGAAAGGAUAUCGUCAACCAGAUUCGUAAAGAGUACUUCUCGGAUAAAUUUCGAUGUUUUCAAGGACCAGAAUGUCAGCUAGAGAACAGGAGAACCUACCAUAUAACUGUUGAAUGAUUUUUGAUGGAAGGGAUGAAAGCAGAUGGAUAUUAUUAUGUUAAUUUACAAUACACAUUAUAUGAUUAUAUAGAUUUACAAAAUAAUACGAUAUCAAGAAAGGUCAUCAAAGUACGAUGGAUGUUUUGCCUAUGCUUGCUUUGUACUUUCCAAUUGAAUUUGGUUGGAAAGGUUUAUGUAUCUGCAAAUUGUAUUGAUAUUCGACAGUAUUCUUAUUGAAUCACUUUUUGCAAAACAACAUACGAUAGCAGAAUAUAAUUAUUUAUGUAAAUCUUAUAUAGCCAGGAUGUAAUGGCAAUCAAAAUUGUGUAUAUGGCCACUGAAGCAAGAAUUCUUGUAGUAUAUUUAUAUUUUAAAAAUUCAAUUUGUAGAUAUUAAUAUUGAAAUCUGUACAAUUAAGAAAUACAAUUCUAGUCCUUACAUUCAGAGAAUUACAAAAUUACCUAUAAAAAUGAAAUGACAUUUUUUCAGUUAUGUCACAAGAUGUAAAUAUGUAAAAUUGCAUUCAAAUGACAGUGACAUACAAUAAAGUGAGGAGAAAUAAAUUAUGUUGAAGUUAUUUACCAAUGAACAAAUUUCAGACCCAUUAAAAGGCUAUACAUUUUGAAAUAUAACUAUUAUUUAAGAAGCGAUGUUUCAUUAAAUUGUUUAUUAGAUACUGCUCAAGAUACAUGAUAUGCAUUUAGUGGAGAUUACGAUUACAAGGAAUAUAUAAUAAAAUAUAUAUAAUAUAUUAGUUUAUUUUAAAUUUGUAAUAAAUUCGAAAUCAAAUAUUUGGGAUCGUACGCAGAUGUGUGCCAAUUUGAAAGAACAUGUAAUGUAAAAUACAUUGUAAUUAUUACUUUCACUCAAUUUAUCUAGUGAUCAAGACAAUUAGUAAUGUAGUGAUUUCAAUUCUGAGUUUUUGAGCAUGAAAUAAAUUAUUUUCCUAAUUAUUUUCGAUCAACUUAGUAAAAGACGAUCACCCACCCAUACGCAACCAGUGCACUAUAGUGCAGUGCGCACCAAUAUUGAAAUAUGCCCAAGAGUAUGCAACAUAGUUUUCAAUGCACUUUCUAAAGCAUACUUAUGUGGUUAAUUAUUGGCUGCAACAUAUUUUCAUACCAACUUCUGUUUAUCUAAAUUCAGUUAAAGUGCAAUCUCGAAUUGGAUUUUAUAUUAUUAAAUAACUGUUUUAAUACCUAAUACAAUGUGGUUUAAAGGAGCCCUCUUCUUAGUUAAUUAUAAAAGACGAUCACAUACUUUCAUAUAAGGUAAUAUUUGUACAUUAAAGGAAGAAACAAAAGUAUAGAAAUUACAUUUGUAAAGAAUUGAAUUAAGGAAAAGCAACUCAAAAUCGAAGAUACUUUAAACUGCUUAAAAUGUCAUUAUUUAUUAGAUACAAAUUUCCCAAUUUAAAUUAUAAUUGGCUAAAGCAACUUGCGAUCAUUUUAAUAUGUGUGAAUUAUAAAUUCGUGUCCAGUAACUUUUGUGAUUUAAAUCUUUCAGUAUAUUAUAAAUUCGUUACAUAUUAA